GCGAGUAUCGCUUAAACAUUUUCACAUCUCAAUUGGAUAUUUACCUUGCCGGUUUUGUUUUUAUUCGAAAACGUCAAUUAAUGUUAUCCUGAAUUGCAGCAAUGGGCUUUAAGGGGUCGCUGGAUUCUGGAAAUUUCUUCUUUAUCCAUUGAACCCACAUGCAGCCUCAUCAGUUUUGGAUAGAUUUACUGGAGUAUAACUCAGUAGGAAGAUAUCAAGUGGGAACUACUCCGACAUGGACUUCGAAGGAAAGGAGGAGCCCAAUGGUCUCCAAGUAGACGUUUCCUAAGUAUACAAAUCGUGAUUCAUAUUAAAGUAAGAUCAAGUAUUGAAUGCAACAUAUUUACGACUAAACUUGUAAGUUUAAAAUGAUUUGUUUUUUCUAGUGCUUCAAAAAUGUAAUAUUAAUAUGUGAAUCGCUAUUAUAAAUAUAUAUUAAAAGAAAAUAUGGCAUGCAAGUGUGUCAAGAAUCUUUAAAUAAA